rnacentral:rRNA from 1 species
AUUGAACGCUGGCGGCAGGCCUAACACAUGCAAGUCGAACGAGUGGCGGACGGGUGAGUAAUGUCUGGGAACCUGCCUGCUGGAGGGGGAUAACUACUGGAAAGGGUAGCUAAUACCGCAUACCAUCAGAUGGGCCCAGAUGGGUUUAGCUAGUUGGUGGGGUAACGGCUCACCAAGGCAACGAUCCCUAGCUGGGUUGAGAGGAUGACCAGCAACACUGUAACUGCGACACGGGCCAGAGUCGUACGGGAGGCAGCAGUGGGGAAUAGUGGACAAUGGGCGAAACCCUGAUGCAGCCAUGCCGCGUGUAUGAAAGAGGCCUUCGGGUUGUAAAGUACUUUCAGCGGGGAAGCGUUACCCGCAGAAUAAGGACCGGCUAACUCCGUGCCAGCCGCCGCGGUAAUUC